GGGGGUAUAGCUCAGUGGUAGAGCAAUUGACUGCAGAUCAAAAGGUCUUUGGUUCAAAGCCAGAUGCCCCCU